AGGCCACUUUGAUUUUGUUUGGUUUGAUUUGCAACGAUGAUGGAGCUGUUCGUGUUGGGGUGUACCGGAGUUGUGGUGUUCCUUCACGGUGCCAAUUUCUUCUUCCACGUUCUUUGCCAGCACCUCGCUGUUCGUUCUCUCAGUUUCUUGGGAUUUGUUGGGUGGUAGAAAAAGGGAGAAAAGAGAGUUUGAAAGAGGAUUCAUUUAUCUUCAUGCAAUUUUUCAAUGUGGAUUAUGCUUUGUAAAUAUUUGAUUAUAAGCAUGUCAAUGUGAUGAUAUGUAUGUAUCAUUGAAGCUAUAUUUCUAUUGUCGAUGUUGAAAUGAAGUAUGAUUUUCAGUUUUUUCAA